rnacentral:lncRNA from 1 species
GGGUUUUCGGAUUUUUGUUGGUUCUUCAAAUUUCAAUUCAUUCGAAAAUUAGAGUUCUCUUUUGAGUGUUAUUUGAUUCUGUUUUUUCAUUUUCAUAUAUAAAAAGAACAAAAAAAUUAGUGUCUUCUAAUUCGAGCUUUACUUCAAAGUAAAAAAAAUACAAAAAAAAGAAGAAAAAAUUAGUUCCUUCUUCUGUUUUCUUUUUUGAAAUGGAGUUUUGCUGAGAUUAGAGGUUCGAUAUCAGUUGCCAAUCUGAAGUUUCGUUCGAGCUUCUGUCCGAUUCGAGUUCCAGUUGUAGCCGCGAUUUUGUUUUGCUCGUGUAACUGCUGAAACUUUGGAGAAAUUGAAAUUCCAGUUUUCAGGUGCAUGUCUUCCACUAAUGAUCUCACUUCUUGGUAUCCUUAAGUAUAAUAAGAGCUAUAAGGAACUAACCUCCAUAGUGAUAGAUAUUUGAUUGUAUUUUAGUAGAGGCUGUGUUCGGAGUCGGUUUCUGAUUGCGACUUGUGUGUGAAAGAGGUUUUUCACUCCAUGCUUGUUGUUCUAUGCUAUAUCUUGUUGUCUAAAUAGGAGUAACUGAAUACGGGAACUUCCAGAUUGUAUUCGAGCCUCUAGAUUAUAUUCAUUCAUCUUUGACUUAUUGACGUAUGAUCUAAUACUUUUGUUGGUUUGUAUUCUGCUAUGUUUCAUGUGUUUCAAAUGGUUGUUAGUAUCCAUGCUAGAUUUUGAAUGGCUUUUACAUUGAGAUUCAGUUCUGUUGGUUUGUAUUCUGCUCUGUUUCAUGUGUUUCAAAUGGUUUUUAGUAUCCAUGCUAGAUUUUGAAAUUCAGUUGAGGAGUUCUGCUGCUGCCUUGUGGUUGAACUAGUUUCUUGGGCAUCAAAAGUGGCAGAAUAUUUACUCGUUAGAUUCAGAAUGUUAUAUCCAUUUGGUGAGGUUUAAGUUGAUCGACUUCCCUGUUUGAAAUCGCAAAAUGUUUCGCACUUCACUCUUUCUGUUGAUUAAGCGAUCAUUUACAUGAAUAAGUUUAAAACGACUGAUUCUUUGCCUUCGAUAUUGUAAGCUUGUUCGGCUGGCCUAAUCAAGUUGAAUGGGAUAACAAUGGAAUGUCUGUGAUGGUGUCUCAAUGUGUAACUGAACUAAAUGUUUGAGGAUCAUUAGGGCUUAGAUUCAUCUAUCUCUUCUUCAUGGCUCUACCCGCAUUUAGUUUCAUUUCUAAACAACAGAAGUUCAACGUUAAGGAACUGAAAUGGUCUGAUUGAGAAGUUGGUACAAAAUUUUGAAGUUGUAUCUCAUCGGAAAUUCCAUGAUCUUUGUUAUUGAAGGGUCAGUUGUUGUGUUUGAUAAAUUAGAGGUCCUUUUAAAUUUUUAACGUACUUUGGGCGACAGUAAAAUUUUGGAUAAAGGUAUCUGAUAUGAGAUUAACCUGCUUGAGUUUGUGAUUUUGGGGUUGAAAGAUUUAUUGGGAUCAAGAACUUAACCAGGGUCCGGGUUAGGUACUGUGGCUACUAGAUAUGUUAUCUUGCAAAUACUAUUGGUAGUUUGUGUGAAUAUUUAACUUUUUAUGCUUUUCUAUAACCCUGUGCGAAGCAUGCGACAAGGUGGCAUUUGAGUAGCACUAGUGAAAUACUUUGAUUAUUUGAACUUUGAAUUGAGUUAGGACGUUGGUUUGUCCAGGGAAGUGCCUCAUAGUUCUUAUCAUAUUAUCCAUUUACUUUACCUUUUAAUUCUUUGUUUAGUCGUUCACCUGUUACUAAUAUUAUGUGUCAUUUGAAUGAUUAUUUUGUUGGACGUUUCUUUGUCAAUAUUUGAUGAGAAUAAUUUGAUCAAAUGGAUGAACGAGGUUGUGAAAAAAAAAAAGACAAACACAAUUAAAUUAGUACAUACUUUAGUUUUCUCUCAUUAAUUCAUUUUAUUCGCUAGGAGCAUGCUUAGGCCGUUAUCAUCGGGGUAAUCAAUUUUCAGGAUUUUUGUUUGAUUCAAGGCGAGAGGUCGUUCCAUUAACUAUAUUUAUCUGAGGAAUGCCCUGAAGGACUUAUAUAUAUUUUAUUCCAGGGUAUGUCCCGAUUUACUUAUAUUUGGAGGCCUAAAGUGGAAUUCGUAGUAUUUUUAGUGUUGGAUUUAUUUUUUUUUUUCUUCAUUAGGUGGGAACGACCUCGAACCUCUUGUGUGCUUUUUUUUCCUUCUUUCUUUUCUAUGUUUGUUUCAUCUCAAUUCAAAUAUUCUAUAAGCCAACUAAGUCGAGUACGCAACCGUAAUUUUUACGGGACUAAGGGAUUGCCUAACACCUUCUACCCGAGUCAAAUGAACCCCCUUACCCAAAUCUCUGGUGCGGACUUAGUUUUGAGCCCAAGUGUUUAAAAAGAAAAUUAUUUUUCUAAAAAAAUGGUGGCCUGGCACACCGAAAUCAAAUGCCUUGUGGCGACUCCGAGUUAUUUUCUUUUCAACAAUUUUUGUCACUUUCAUAAUUGAAAAUUCCUUUUCAAGCUUUUAUUAAAAUCUUUUUAUUUAUUUAAGAAGGUUAAGUGAGAGUUUGUUUAAAAAAAAGGGGUGUGACAAACCACACUUGGAGUUUUAUGCUUACUUUGAAGUUGAGCAAUAGUAAUCUGUUGAGCUUGUAGCAUCUCGAAUAUUUCUUGGAGGCUAACUCCCCCCUCUCAUAUACCAUGCAUUCCUUGGCCGCCAGAUCGAACUUCCCUGUGUACACUUCCUCCGGGGUCUGCGCCCAAAUUCCCAUUGAAAGAAAUGUGUGAACUAAUAUUGACUGGUUCUACAUUUGGCACUUCCCCAGGGUUAAUCGGUGGCACACCGGCUCCCAGAGCAAGUACAUUGUUGUUUUCCCCAUGAAAUCCUAGACCAUCAUCGCCGUGUGCAGGUGCAUUUUGUGAGUUUGACAAUAUUUUAGCUUGGGAACAAAAGUUUUUGACAAGAGCAAGUGUAAAAAUAACAUAUGUUAUUAGUAUCAGUACUAAAAUAACCACUAUUAUCUUUAACCUCACGGUGAGUAUCAAAUUGUUUACCUCGAAAAUACGAGUAACAAUUAAACUUAUUUGUGGCUUUAUAGAUACGUAAUUUAGUUCAAUACUAGUUAAUAACCAAGAAAACAAACCUCAAAAUUAAAGAAGUAAGCUGAAUCAAACCAGUGCUUAAGCAAGUCUUGACCUCGAACAAUGGUGGCCUCGAGGUAGGUCAACAAGAAAAGUAAAAUAGAGACAAUAAAGAUGAGAGACAAUUCUGACGAGUAAUGAGCAAAAAAGUAAGAAAGUAUAUUCUUUUGCCAAUAUGUGAGCGAAUAUUACAUAUGAUUGGUAUCCUCUUUAUAUAGUGGGGGAACCCUAAAUAAGCUAUAUUUCUAUUUAUAGUAAGGAAUCUUAUUGGGACAAUUGUCUAAUAGCCUAGUACAAAUCCAUACUAACUUGUGCAAAUCUAUUCCGGAAUUUACGCCACCAUCUUAGGGCCAUCACGGGAAUCUCGCCCUUUCUGUUACAAAACCAUAAUGAUAUUAUCUCGAGAUUAGCCAUAUUCGGCUCCGAUGUUCCUUGAGCACUUAGAUCUUCGAGUCUUGCACUCUGCCUUCGAGCUCGAGCUCGGUCUAUAUUGAACUUGUUCUUGAUGCAAACCCUCGGGCCUACAAAACCGGGGACAUACGAUUUUGACCGUAUUCAGUAAUCUUUUCUUUUACUUUCAAACACACGAGAAAGAUUAUGUUUCAGUUUAUCUCAGAGAUCUCCUAAAAAUGUGUCUUUACCUAUGUGUUCUUCACAUGCAGAGAAACUAUAAAAUCACCAUCCUGAUUUAGACGACCUCAAAUUGCUUUUUAAGGAUAAGGAAGCACUAUUUUAGGUUGGCGUAUUUAACGGGCUUUCAGCAGACAUAGGCCCAUGUUUUCAGGCCUCUAUCAGCAGCUUUAGGUCCAUGGUCUAUUUAACGGAUGGUUACACAAUAACGGGCCAGAUUUAUUAUUAUUUUUUUUUGUCGGUAUACAUAGAUUAUAUUAUUGAUUAUAAAAAGUUACACACACAAUACACACACACACAUAUGUAU